AGAUACUUGUCAACAGUAAUAUCAUGGUGCAGAAGACUGACGCAGACUAGUCAGAGAGAGAUGCCCACUUGUUCUGUUCUUGAAGAAAAUUGGUGUGUGGCUUCUGAACUUGAAAAGAUACAGAAGUUUAACUUGUUACUGGAGAAUAGUGGUGUCCUAAACCAGAUUUCUAACAAGAAAAAUGAACAGUCUUUUGAUUGUAAACCAAACUAUUCAGAAAGCUUGCUAGAAGAAGUUAAUGAAAAGAGAGUAUCAGUGGCAUUGAAAAGAACCUCUGAAAUUAUUCAGGAUAUUGAUUGUCUUCUAUCAAGCUCUAAAAAGUGA